rnacentral:rRNA from 1 species
UACAGAGGGUGCGAGCGUUAAUCGGAAUUACUGGGCGUAAAGCGUGCGUAGACGGCUAUCUAAGUCGGGUGUGAAAGCCCCGGGCUCAACCUGGGAAUUGCAUUCGAGACUGAAUAGCUAGGGUACGGUAGAGGGAAGCGGAAUUUCCGGUGUAGCGGUGAAAUGCGUAGAUAUCGGAAGGAACACCCGUGGCGAAAGCGGCUACUCUGGAACGGUACUGACGCUGAGACGCGAAAGCGUGGGGAGCGAACAGG